rnacentral:lncRNA from 1 species
AUUUUUUUCUUGAUUCACUUCGAUCUAUUUCAUCUAUUGUUUAUAACUCUUAACAUUUUUUUGGAAUUAAAAAGAAUGGUCUCUUUUUGUACAAGAACUAUUUCUAUUUUUAGCAUCUUGACAUCCCUAGAUUUUGAUAUCUCAGUUGUUUAUCAAUCGCAGGGAGCUUGUGCCUUGUAGGAGUAGAGAAGUUCCGCAAGCUGGUUGCCUCUUCCGACAUGCCUGCUCUCCCUGGUACUUCAUUUCCUUUGUGCGUGUCAUAUGGAAAUGUUUGACAUUUGUGGAACUAUUAUUUGGAUUUUCAUUUUGUGUUAGAGGAAAUAUCUAAUGGGCCAUCGAUUUUAGUGUUGAAAUUUGAAGUUUUUGGAUACUGGAAAUGUCUGAUUUUGGCUGGGUUAGUGAUGUUGGAUAUACAUUCUUUUUGUUUAUUUUGGUAAAUGGAAUUACAGUUCAGUUGAAAUGUGAAGUUUAAAAUAAGACAAUGAAUUCGAGUUUAAGACGUUUAUUAAUUUGGUACUUACAAAUACAGAAAGUUUUGAAAUAGUUGGGAGUAAUUGAUUUGGAUUUUAAUUUUUGUUCGUUUAGAUUUCAGUGUCUAUUUGUCCAGUAGAAUUCAAAGCUCUAUUAUUUAAGUCAGACUUAGCUUUACUACAGUGAUUGUGUUACUAGGAAUAUGUGAAGCUUUAUUUAGGAUUCAAAAUUGUACUCUGAUUUUCCAAACGUGGUGACAGAUUGAUGGGGUUUAGCUAUUGAGGAACUUCUCUAUUUAUAUACUUCUAUAAGAAAAAUCCUUCUUUAGAACUAAAUGAUUGCUAACAAUGCUAGUAAUAUUUUUUGUACAUGUAACACCACACGCUUCAUUCUCGUAAUUAUUAUGUCCGAAUAGAUUAUGUAUUUGUAAUGCCGCAUAAUUUACAUGAUAGAUGUUUAUGCUUCCUUAAUGUUUAUUUAAUGUGUACUUAAUAAGUUUAUUGUUAUUGUGAUUAAUUUUUUCUUGCAAUGGAAUGAACAUUGCAUGCUCUAAAAGAUUAACAUGCCAAUUAAUUUAAUUAUGGUGGGUCUAUAAUUGAAUAAUAUAAUAUAUUUAAUUUGAGAUUUGCUUGGUGUACAUAAUUUUUCAUACAUCAAGGUGUCCCACACUCACAUGGGGUGGAACCCGCUUGAAUAUCUUUUUCGAGUAGACACCAUUCCAUGUGAGUGUAUGGAUACCUUAAUAUACAAAAAAUUAUGUACAACUAGUGUUAUCCAUUUAAUUUACUAUGUGUUCACGAAUAAUUUAACUCCGGGUUGAACUUAGAUAAUGAGUUAGAAUAUUAUGCAUUGACUUAAUAAGCGAAGAUUUUUCUAUAAUUUAAUAUGGAAAUAAUAUGUAAACGUCAUAAUGGGAUCUUAGUUUGUACAACCUAUUUAAAAGAUUAAAUAAGUCAAUAGGAUUAAUAUGAGAUCUCAUUAUAUAUAUAUAUAGUUUUGUGUGUAUUUAUAUAUCUAUUCAUUGCUCACAUUCAUUAUUUGUAUAUUGUUUAUGAAAUGUUCUUUGUCGUUUUGUGAAAUUUUUAAGUUUUAUGUUUGUGAAAUAUUUGAGUUUGUUGUUUAGAUAAGGAGCCCAUCUUUUGUUACAAGUGACUAAGUGUUCCAUAUUCAAUAGGUAUACGUUCAUGUAUAUCUGCACAUAAAUACAUAUAAUCUCUGUAUUUAAAUACAUUAUACUGAUUUCUUUGGAUUUUCUUACAUGGUGCUAGUUCUACUUUUAGAUUAUUUAUUCAAUUGAAGGGGACUCCGUCACGUUAAGAAAAGUAUGAUUUCAUUUUAUUCUCCCUUUUUAUUUCAUUGUUUCCCGGAUCCAUUUUAUGGUUUUUGAUUUGAAUAUCAACGUGUGUUCUUUGUUUUUUUGCUUUCGUGAGCAUUCAUGAUGAUGUAUUAUGUCUUUCUGAUUUCAUAUACUUAUUAGGUUAUUCUAUUUACUUAAUAGAUUCUUAUAUUAUUUGUCAUGUUUGUUUCUUGUUAUUCAUAGAUAAGUUCCUCACACCGAUACAAAUUCCGAAGGAAGAGCACGUUCUGACCCAUAUUUUACAGGUUAGCAACACCAAAUAUGUAUUAGUUGUCCUCGACAAAUUCGAUGCACAACAGAAGACUAUGUUCGAGGAAAGUUGUUUAGGACAUGUCGUGAAGUUGCUCAAGCUCAAAUUAUCUGCAUAAUUAGUUCAUGAAAUGGUUAAUAGAUGAGUGAUUUGCUGAAAACGUUUUGAGGCUUGGUUCAAGGUCAAUCAAUGGUUUACAAGAUUUGGAAUGUCGGAGUUCUCACUGAUCACGGGCUUAAAUUGUGGAGAAUUGCCUAAAAGGUUGGCUUUCGACAACAUUCUAGAGAAAACUAGGCUACGAGACAAAAUGUUUAUUUAUGGAGAUUGGAUAACUUUUAGCGAUUUGUAGAAGGUUUUCUUGAAAUGUGCUAACCGUAACGAUCGUUACAAACUUGGUUUGGUAUAUAAUUAUUGAAGGGGUUUUAAUUCGAGAUACCUAAAUGUGGGGAUUCAUCCUAAACUCUCGUCAUUAUGGACGACUUAGAUUUCUUCAUUGCUUACCCAUGGAGGACAGUAUGUUUUAAACUUCUUAUCAAAUUAGUGCUCCGUGGAUGAAGGAGAAAUGUGGACUUGGCAAAGGUCAACGAUUAUGACAGGAUGUCUUACACGUACGGAUUCCUUCUUGCUAUUCAGUAUGUCUGUUUAUUUCAUUCAUAUUCAUUGUACAUUGUUAUUUAUGUCCGUAUGUGGUAAUCACUGUUAUACAUGUGCUGCAAUUGUGGGUGUACGAGGCAAUCCCAAAGUUGGGAGCUCGAUUUGUGAGCAAGAUUAGUGACGACCUUUCGAGGAUGUUGCGGUGGUCACCACCAGAUAGCCUCAAUCGAGAACAUAUUUAAAUUUCUUCGACAAGACACACAUGAGCAUUUAUAUAUACAACUGCCCUUACACUAGUAGCAUAUAUCACAAUUUUAUUUGACAAGACACUUUUCCUCCCUUUGUGGUUGCACUUGUGGACACUAUCUCUGAAGAAGAAUAGCAGCCAUACUUUGCUACUUUACUUCCAUUAGAUGAUGUUACUGACCAAUUUUUGACAAUCUCGUCAUUCAAUCAACUGAAAUACAAGAUUACCUGUCAAAAGGCAAAGUGAUACGCAAUGACGAGAAAAACAACCGAUGCAACAGAUUCAGGAGAGGUAACACAAGUGGGAUUCGUCUUCGAGAUUUCAGUGACGAUAAAGGGGGAGAAAAAGAGCAUUGUGAUCCAGUCCAGGACUUUCCAUCCAUUUUUGGCUUGGAAAAUCAUCUAAUAGCAAGCCAUGUGUAUACGGAUGAGAUAAAAGGCAUGUUGAUUUAACAUAGAGAGUUCAUUGGGAUUACGCUGUGUAAAUUGAGGGACAAAAUGAACGCAAGGUUCAAUGGUCUUGAAAAGAAAAUGGGGGAUCAUGUGCACAAGAUGAAUGAGCAUUGACUGAUUAGAUAAGUGUGAUCAAAUGAAAGUUUGAGGAUGUAGUUACAGAAAUUGGGAGAGAAAAUGUGCGUGAUGAGUAUGGUGCAUUUGGUUAUGGUGAUGGUGAUGGAGAUAUGCACAAACGUGAUUACUAUGAUGAUUUCUCGUUGCCCAACACUACAAUUGACGAACAACAUGUCGAGGCAACAAGAGUACAUGCUAGCAAUGUUAAGGCAACCAAACUAGAUGUUGGCUACGUCAAGGCAACCGAAGCAAAUGCUGUAAGCAUCGAGGCAACCAAACUAGAUGCUCGCAACGUCGAUGAGUUGUCCAAAAAGUGCUUAGAUAUGGUUGCCACCAAUGCUAUACUGCCAUCUUGAGCUUGAUCCCUCAGGGUAAAGCUGUCAAAUGCUAGCACUCAGACUCCUUUUAUACGGUUCGAUUGUAGAAAGGGUAAGAGAGGUGUGUAGUUAGUUUACAAUGUUGGUGGAGUAUGGCAUUGUAUGUUUUGGAAAAUAUUUAUAACCUCAUUUUGUGUGCCAUCAUUAGGCAAAUUUUUUGGUUGAUGGUACAAUUCUCAUUGUUGAUGUAGAAUUGAAAUGGGUACAAGAGUAUUUUAUUUCAGUAAGUACAUGUUGUUUAGGACUUAUAUUGUGCACACAUUUGAAAUGUCAGUUUACGAGAAUAACAUGUAUUUUAUGUCGAGAACAACACUUUAAAUGUCGAGACAUGUCUGGAAUGUAUAAAACUCUAGGAAAUAGAAUGAAAUCUUGUUAGAUACAUGAACUAUUAAAUGUUGAGAUAAAUUGGGUCCAAAUGUCGAUAACGACUUUUCAAAUGAAGAAAACUUGAUGAAAUGUUAAGAAAUAUAUGAACUGUCGAGUGUCAAGAUAAACAAGGUCAAAUUGUUGAUAAUAACAUUCCAAAUGACGAAAACAUGGUGAAAUGUUAAGAACAAAUUUGAACUGUUCGGUGGACUGGCAAGAUGACAACGAGAUUUCCCAAUAUGAUUUUAACAAAAUGUGUGUUAUAAAUUCAUGCUGGUAAUAGAUACAAUUUCACUAUUUACACAACAAGCACAAAAUCUACAACCUAUAUCGUUAAAAUCAAUUGUAAAUACAUGGAAUAGGAGUUGGUGUGUACUCUUCUAAUGUAAGUACACCUCAUUAACCAUGCUUUACACCUCUACAUAAGCAUGCAUAUGUGUUGAAAGCUAAUGUUUAAACACAAUUCUUCACAAGAAAUUCCUAGUAGGAAGAGCUUCUUUCAACUAUGUCUUUUUCAACCUAAGAAACACCUCGUGUCGAUAUUGCUGUGAACCUUUUCCCGCCCGGGUCUUCAACUGGUGAAGUUUAUGUAGUUUGGUAGUUGAUGAACUUCUAGAUAUGAUUUCUCCUUAAUGUUGUUUGAAGUGUAGUGCGUUGACAUUUAAUGAUCUUGAAAUCAUAGUUCACGACAUUUAUGUUUUGUAAUGUUCUUUCAAUGACUAUGAAGUGUUGAAAUGAAUUGUGAAAUUGCAAAAGUAUAUUAUUCAUCAUUGACAAACUUGAUAUUAACAUGAAUAAAAAAAAUAUUCAAGUGUGAGGAUUACUCAAUGGUCUUGGGUUCCAACAUGUUUGCCUAUUGUAUCUGUAACCACCGCACCAUCUAUAUUUUCAAACGUUCAUCGACCAUUUAAGUCUUGAUCGUUUUCAUUGGGUAGGAAGUUGUCCUGGUGAUCUACAUAUAGUUUGGGGGUGAAAUGUAGAUGGAACGAAUCGAAUGAGGAAUAACCUAAUCGGACACCAUUCCAGUUGAAUGAAUGACUUCGUUGUAUGCAGCUUGGCAGAACUGAGUGGUAUAGUAUGGGGAAAGCAAAUCAUAAAGUAGGGGUGUCAAAAAAGCUCGGCGGUUCAGGCGGCUUGCGGCCUCGGCUCGAAGAAAAAGAGGCAGUAAGGUAGAAUUAUGCCAAGUUUGUUGCCUUUAAAAAGGCAGUUUUAAAGGGGGGGGGGGGAAUCGAGCCUACUCGGCUUGGCCUGUAAAAGCUCGAGCCGAAAUUUUUUGGCUGAGCAAAAGCUUGGCUCACCAUUUUAACCGAGAGGAGCUCGAGCCUAAAAUUUUAGGUUCGAGCUCGACUCGACUCAGCUCGUUGACAUCCCUAUCAUAAAGUGAUUUUUCCUUCACGCAUGCUAUUUGAAAUGCAUGUGCGAACGUUAUAUGUCGCAUCUGGAACUCUCGAUAUGAGUACGUGUUGCCUAUAAGGUCAGCACAUGUUUGUGCCUUCACUAACCUCCAAUACGAGUUCAAUCGACGUACUUGUCAUGUUACACCGACGCCAAAUGAUUUUCUCAAUUUUCCCUCCAUCUUUGGUGCCAAGGCACUCUAGCAUUUGGGAGAUGCGGUUCUCCUAUCGAAAAACCAUUGUUGUAUCAAAGACCUAAUGUUGUCAACCAACGACGUUUUAGAAAAACUUUGUUGUCGCCUGAGGACUGCAUUCAGGGACUGGGCACUGUUGUUCAUAUAUUGUUGUACCGAUUACCACCAAAAUUUGUAUGUGACCAUGACGAAAUACCAGCACGUUCCAAAUAAGAAGCAACUGGUGGUCAGAUGCUUCUAAUUUGCCCCUUUAACUGUUUGAAUUCUAACAUGCGGUAUGCUAGUGCGGCACGCUUAAAUAAGAACACGACAUUGCUACUGCUAUAUUUAGUGAUCAGAUUUUCUCAAUAUGCCAGAUGCAAGCACCAUGGUAAGAAAGUGAGCACAACCUGGAUAUUGCUCGCUUAAUACUCUUCUUCUUGUCUGAUACGAACACUAGCCUUUCUAGGUCGUCCACUACGUCCUAUAACUUCGUGAAGAACCAAUCCCAAGAUACAUUUGUUCCCCCAUCAGCAAUCCCCCAAGCAAAAGGAUAUAUAUGCAAGUUCGCAUCAUGCACUAUAGCAAAUAGUGUUCCCUUAUACUUUCUCUUCAAAUGACUUCCGUCAACAUAAAUGACUAGUCUUAUGUAAUCUCGAAAGCCACGUAGACUUGCACCAAAUACUAAGAAAAAGUACAAGAAAUUGUUAUUGCUGUCAAGCUCAAUGUGUGCGAUGAUUCCGAGGUUUUUCUCAGUUAAGACAUGGCAGUACGAAGACAAUUUUUGAAAACUCUCUUUAUGUGAACCAUAGAGUCAUUCAAGACCAUUCUCUUUGCCCCUCCAAUCUUUGUUGUUGCUAAUUCUUAUGUUGAACUCACAUUCGAAACCCCCGAUAAUACCUGUGGGAAUGUACGAUUGGUUUGCAUCAUCUAAUCGUCACAUUAUUUAUUGUUCAAUUACGGAAUUGGUUGUAUGCAUGUGUGCAUUCCGUCGAACAUCUAAAGAACAUAUGUGCCCAGGUAUGUACCUCUGAACCUUAAAUAUAUCUGAAUUUCUUAUCUUCGAAGCUCGUAAUAACCAUUAGCAGGGGGUAUCCAUGCAACAUAUAGUGAGAGAUCUAGUAUUUGACUUUUUAACUUUGAAAUGAAACUUCUCAGUAAAGCCUGUAGUCGAAGCUUUGUGUGUAGUUUCUUGCUAAGGAAGAGUUGCUUCUCUGCGAUUUCCAGCUGAUCUUCCGAUUCAUUUGCAUUUUCAAUAUAUGGAUUUCCUGCAACUAGGCCGACAUUUAUAUCUGAAAUCAUUUGUGGCUCUUCUAGUUCGAGCAUACACCAACUUCGUCAUACUCAUACCUUUUUUACUGGUGAUAAAUGAUCAACUCCGACAUUCUCCUCUUGCUCUCCGAUAUCAUAUUGAUCUGCAAUUACACACAAAGCUGCUCGUGUGUGAACAGAAAUAUGCCAUUGUAAAUCCUCGUCAUUGGCUACAUUAGCGGGGUUACAUUUAUGUUCAGAACUUUAAAUUUGAGGUGGAUCUGAAAUUUCAUCCUGUUAAGAUGAAGCUUUUAGAAUAAUUUAUUGAAAAGCUCUUCAUAUCUAAUGUUUCUUUGAAUAAUAAUUGAUGUCGUUCGGUUCCCAAACCACUUCCACUCAUCCUCUGUGUUGAUGAAUGUACCGCCAUGCGAGAUAACAAAUCUCAUCACAUCUUCCAUUUCUGUAUGCCAUCAACGUAAAAAAGAUUAGCUAACAUGAAUACCAAAAACAAACAUUAUGCCCAUAAGCAAUAUGGUCAACAAUAUUCACAAAAUCUUCGAUAGCUUCGCUAAGUUAAUAAAAUAUAAUUACGAACAUUGAAAUACUAUCAAGAAUUACAUUUUUUAAGUGUCGUUAUCGACAAUUAUAAAAUAUUGAGAAUGAUAUUCGGCCACACACUUCACCAUAUGCAUUCAUCACUUUCUUUAACUUCAACAACCAUUCUUGUAAGGAAUUUGUUCAUUCAUUGAAUAGGUUGUGACACCAUGUUUGAGAAAUACAAAACAACAAAUAUGAAUUUAAUGUUAAAAUACUCCAAUAAUCUUAUAACAAAUAUCUACUAAUUGUUUGAAAAUUGUAAUCAUCCAUUUACAUCAUAUAUACCAUGGUGACUGUUCAAUACAAACUUAUCAACAAAAAAUGAGAUUUCGAAGAAAAAUUACCUUCUAUGGGAAAUUGUGGAUGAGAUUAAAUUCCUUGAAAUGAAUUGAUAUGAUUUUCUUAUGAAUUUAGGAGUAUGUAGAUUUUUUUGUGUUAAUAAUUUUGAUACUCCAUCAUCUUCAAUUUUACUCAAAAUCAUUGGUUAUUACCUAAUAGAUAAUGAGGAAUAUUUACCCAUUAGGUAUUACCUUGUUAUUAAUGUAGCUUCUCAUUGAAGCUACAUUAAGUUCCUAGAAAUUUGUGAGACACUGAAAAGAAAAAAAAAAAAUGUCGUUUUAUUUUCAAUAAGGGUAUAAAACAAAAUUUGAUACCAAAUUUGUCCGUUUUUGCGAGAGUUACUAAAAUUGGACACUUUUUAUUUGAAAAGCAUGUAAUUGGCCAUUUUUGAAAAUUUCCCUUAUUAUUAUUAUAUUUGUUAUUUUAUUUAUUUAUUUUGUGUAUUUCCACUUCUUUUUCUUUGACAAUGGGAGGUUUGUAUUGUUAACAUUGGGGCUCCAAGAUUUUUCAUCUAAAGAGUGGAUAUAAACAUUAAUAUACAUUUUCCAAUUAGAAAAACUUGUUCAUCUAAAAAGAAAGCAACUUCCAACGACAACAAAUCAUGGUCAGUAAAACUUAAAAUUUGGUCGCUUCGAAAUAGGGCUUGAUUUGGUGGACAAUAAGAGUAAAUAUUGGUUGAUUCGCACCUUAUUACGACCAACCUUUGGUUGGUAAAAACAUCAGCUUAAAAUAAUUCCAUAAUUUCAGCAAUCAAUAAUUGGUCGAAGAAGAUACACAAUCAGUGACCAAAUAUAUCGUAUGAAUAUAAUACAACGUUUAGGUCUUUAGGACGAAUACUAAAAUGGUCGCUAAAUAUUGAUAUUUGAAGAUCAAUAUAUAGCCGUUUAGUAUUAUGAAAUAGUGACCAAUUUGUGGUUGAUGAUCAUUGAUAACAUUCAUUGCCAAAUUUUGCUUGGUGAACAUUGGUACCAUUUGUGACUAAUCAGUAGUUGUCGCAUGUACUUCGAUGGCCAUUUGUAGAUAAAGCAUUCCCUUCAUAAUGUAAGCAUCAACAACUACAAUAUUAAUCAGUGAAUGUGAUAAUUUUUUUCUUAUUUUCCAGCAACUAUAAUUUGGUUGCAAAAACACAUUUACUAAUCACUAUCUAGUUGUUGAAUGUUGAACGUGUCGAAAAAUACUUUUAACAACCAAUAUUUUAUCCCAAUAUUAUCCAAUGUUUCAAUUUAAAAAAAAAAAAUCAGAACGUUAAAAUUAACAAGAAAUAACUACAUAGGAAAAUUCUAACUGCAUAUGUAACAAACUGUAAUAGCUGAUACAUACUAAAUAUUUAAUAUUUAACCAAAGAAAGUUCUCAUAUUUUCCAUGUAACUUAAUAUAAUCACAUUAUGGCAGCACCAGCCGAUGGCGACAGUGGAGACGAUGGAGGCAAAUCACUGGUCUGUUUUGCAGGAAGAUCUUGAAUCAAAUCCAUUUGCAUAGCAAGGAUCUGUAUAAGUAACGCAUGUUAAUCAAGAUAUUUAUUAAGCUCAAUAAUAACAUUAUCCUUCUCAUUAACUCGUUGUGUAAGAAUUUCCAACUCUUGCAUAAAUCUAGGAGUUGUGAAUGUGUUACUAUGACUUGUGCGAAAUAGGUCCAAUCCUUGAAAUAGUCCGAGUACUCCUACCAAGAACUUGAAUACAUUGUUUCUUCAUCCAAAAUAGUUGCAACAUCUUCUAGCCUUGUUUGUGAUUGUUGCAAGUCCAACAUCUCUUUCUUUUAUACAAUACCACAAGGUUGUUAAACUAAAUAAUAUUUAUAUUAAGAUACUUUGUGUAAUAGGUGAUAUAUCUUACACAUCGUGACUUAGCUAAUUGGUUUUCCUGUCCUUUUGAUAUGGAGUGCAUCCUCCUAAACAAUUCAAUAUGACCAUCUGAUUCUUCACGUGUGCACUGAAAAAAUACGCAAAAAUGAAAGUUGAUCACUCAGAUAUUUAUCCAUGAUAUACAAAUAUUCAUUGUCAAAUCAAAGAUCAAAAUGCAUGGAUCGAAUAGUUCAUUGGUGACAGAAGUGAAACUAAUGCCAUGGUUUGAUUUAAGAAUAAUGUGCACCUAUAAAUUACAUGGCAUACGUGGACGGAGGGGGUCCUAUAUUGGCCGAGGUAUCAUUGACUAUUAAUUGAUUUGACUCAUUUAAUAAAACAAUUGCAUUUUGGGCUUGAACUUGGGCUCGUUUCACUAAACCCAUUUGGCCCACUUCCACUUCUCUAUAUAUAUGUGAUUUCAUUUCACACAAAGGUAUGUCCAUUCUAACCUAUCCAAAUCCAAUAACCUCUCUUGCAUCUUGUGACUUACUUUCUAUUUCGACCACGAAUUUAUCAAACUCUUCAAGACUGUAAGCCUCUAUAGCUCUUCAAACAUUGCAACGAUGCCACUGCCCCAAUAUUUAAUCUUCAGGUUGCUUUGUUUAUGGUACAUACAAUAACUAUGAUGUGUCUCUGGAAAGACUUCGACAGUAUCAUUUAUUAUUGAUUGCCUUGGUUACUUACUAAUGCAAGGUUUUCGACGUCCCCAAUUACUUCUUUUAAUUUCAUGAAGAAUCAACGCAUCGCUAGAUCAUUCUCUUCGUCGACUUUGUCGAAUGCAAGAGGGUAAUUUUGAAUGUUGACAUCUUGACAUGUUGGAGUAAUCAACUUAUUUUCGUAUCUAGUCUUAAGGGUUGUACCUUCGACUAGAAUUAAGGAUUGCAUUGUGUUUCAAAAUCCUCGAAUGCAUUGUCCAAGUGCUAUGAAGAAAUACUUGAAUCGAUUCUCGCUCUUCGUUUUAAUAAAAAAUGUCGAUACAGAAUUAGUUCUCCCCAUGUUAUAGCAAUACCUGUCCAAUUUAGCAUAAUCAUCCUCAACUGAAACCAUUAAGUCAUCCAUUGCACAUUUGUUGGCUUUCCAGGUCUUCUGAUAGCUCAUGACCAAUGAACCAUGCUUUGGUUUGCCUGUAACCAUUUCGAUGAAUACCAACUUCGUAAGUAUGUUCCCGUACAUACUUACGAACUACAAAAAACCCAUUCGUAUCCAUUUUUGUAGCUCGCAAAUGCCAACGGCAACUAUUGUCAACGUAGAUAAUUAUGUACAUAAUCUUAUUGGAUUUCUUCACUUUAAAUUCAAGGUUGUAUUUCAAAGCAAUCCAAUGCACAGCUUCAUGCAAAUAUUUCUUUGUUUCAAACAGUGCUCGACAUACAAAUUUUCAUCAUUGCGAACCACAAGUGAACAAUUAGAGGGUUGUGUACUCAUUUUGGCCUUCUACCCGACUUAUGUUUCCGAUGGGGUAAUGUAAUCAAAUCCUCAUUUUUAAAUUUAUUUUCGUUCUUGUUGUCUUGAACUAUUGAGGAAUUUUGUGCGUAACAGUGAGAUCACGGUGAAGAAUAACUGUCUCAUGAAUAGUUACAUCAUUCUCACAAACUAUCUUCACCCUGUCUUAAAAAUCAUUCACAUUACGAUUUCCUCUACAGAAUCUUUAUGUUCACUCUCGAGGACAUUCUUUUUAACUAAAGUUACGCAAAUAGCAGUCAUGCGAUUUUGUUUUAAUUUAAUUAAAACCUUCAUCUCUCGGAAGCAAUCAUUACAAGUGGAAGUGAAAUGGAUAUAUACUCACCGAAUAAAAAUCUCAAUUCCAUGUCGUACUGAGAGGAAUCGACGUUGAUCUUGUUCUAUAAAUUGUGGUACAUUUUUGUAUACGAUGUACUCAAUUUUAUUACAAUUGCAGUAGCACCAGGUCUUUCACUCAUCCAUUUUCACACCCAUCAAUCAUUUUUAUUCAUUUCAAAUUCAUCAAAGUAACAAAUUGGGACUAAAGCUGAUUUCAUAUUUGUAUUAGGAAACAUAAUUUGUUAAAUAAUAUAAUUAAGAGAUAAAAAAGGGGAAGAAAAGUCGUUUGGGGUGGCAGCCGGCCCAGAUGAUAGACAGUCUGUAACAAAGUGGGACUGCAGUUGAUUCCAUAUUUGCAUUAGGAAAUAUAAUUUGUUAAAAAAUAUAAUUAGGAAAUAAAAAAGGGGAAUAAAAAUCGUCCGGGCCAAUUGUCAUUUGUUUCAACUAGCCCAGGUGGUGGCCUGGUUGUUCCCGACUAGCUGUUUAUCUAUGCAGAUGAUUUUUUUCGUUUUUGCUUAAAAAAUUUAUAGAUCUGCUUAAAAUUUAUCUGCCUAUGUAAUAAUAAGAUUUAACGAUUAAAACAAUUUACUAAUUUAACGAAAAUGAAAUUGCAAAUACGUAAAUAUACUAACUACUUCGAAGUGAUGGCUAGAAAUAAUAUUUUUUCCUGAGUGUUUGAUAAAUUUACGGGAAUUUAAGGUUGAAACAGAUGAAAAAUGAAAUAGUUUUUAUCUAUGUUGGAGUAAACAGAUAAAGAAAGUAGCUUUGUUCUAAAAUUUUAAGUGGGAAGUACUUCAUCAAAUAACUCCACUUCAAGCAUAUUAGUUAAUGACAGCUCAUGAUGCCUUGAAAUGUUUCCAAUACGUUGACAACGAUCACGUCUUCACAAAAGUAUAGCAGUCAUUGAACAGAUUUGGCCAAUAGAAACUAGAUUGCAAUACUUUAGCAGUAGUACGUGUAGGACUGAAAUGACCUCCAUAAGGGGAUAAAUGGCAAUGCUGCAUGAUUGAUUUUGUCUAUUCCACAGGGACACACCGCCUGAUUAUUCUGCUAACACACCUCUUGAACAAUAUUGGGUCAUCUCACAGAUAUGACUUGACAUCAUGUAAGAAUUUCUUCUUUUGAUGGAAGGUCAAGUCAAAGUGGUAAUCUUCCAGACACCAAAUUAACAAAAUCAGCAUAAGAUGGGAUCCUUGUUGAUACUGGUAGCAAGAUCCCGUAAGGGAAAGUUUCUCGAAUUUGACUGUCAUCCACCACUUUCUCAUUCUCUAACCGCGACAGAUGGUCUGCAACGACAUUCUCACUGCCUUUCUUAUCUCGAAUUUUUACAUCGAAUUCCUGCAGUAGCAAUAUCCAUCGAAUCAGGUGUGGCUUGGCAACUUCUUUUCAAAGAGAUAUCGGAUUGUAGCAUGGUCUGUGUAAAUGAUCACUUUGGUGCCAAUGAGAUAGGAUUUGAAUUUGUCACAUGCAAACACUAUUGUUAGCAUUUCAUUCUCUGUUGUGGUGUAAUUUAGUUGAGCUCCAUUAAGGGUUUUAUUGGUAUAGUGGAUUGCUCAAAAAAUCUUAUCACGCCUUCGUCCCAAAACCGUCCCUACUGCCUAGUCACUAGUAUCACACAUAACCUCAAAUGGUUGAUCCUAGUCUGGCACUGUCAUCACUGGAGCAGUGACCAAUUUUUCCUUUAUGGUUUCAAAUGCCCUUAAGCUGUCGUUAUCAAAUACAAAUGUUGUGUCCUUCUCCAAAAGGUUGCAUAGGGGUUUAGCUACUUUUGAAAAGUCUUUGAUGAACCUCCUGUAGAAUCCAGCAUGUCCCAAGAAACUUCGAAUGCCUUUGAUAUUGGUCGGUGGUGGUAGCUUUGCAAUUGUACCAAAUUUUGCCCUGUCAACUUCAAGUCCCCUCGUUGAAACAUGGUGGCCGAGCACAAUUCCUUCUUGUUCCAUAAAGUGACACUUUUCCCAGUUAAGAACCAAGUUCUUUUCCUGACAGCAUUAUAACACCAAGGAGAGAUUGUGAAGGCAAUUGUUAAAAGAAGUACCAAACACCGAAAAGUCAUCCAUAAAUACCUCCAUAAUGGCCUCAACCAUGUCAGCAAAGAUUGCCAUCAUGCAUCUCUGAAAGGUGGCCGGUGCAUUGCAUAACUCGAAUGUCAUCUGUCUGUAGGCAAAAGUUUCAUAAGGACAGGUGAAGGUUGUCUCUUCCCGAUCUUCUGGUGCUAUAGCAAUCUGAUUGUAGCCCAAAUAUUCGUUAAAAAGACAAUAGUAAGAGUAGCCCGCGAAUUUGUCCAACAUUUGAUCAAUGAAAGGGAGUGGGAAAUGGUCCUUUCUAUUUGCCUUGUUCAGCUUCCUGUAGUCAAUGCACACCCUCUAGCCAAUUACUGUUCUAGUUGGAAUUAGCUCAUUGUUGUCGUUCUUAACUACUGUCAUCCUUCCUUUCUUUGGUACUACUUGCACUGGGCUGACCCAUUCAUUGUCUGAAAUGGCAAAUAUGAUCCCUGCCUUCAAUAGCUUUAGUAUCUCCGCUCGAACCAUUUUGUUCAUUGCUAGGUUUAACCUUAUCUGAUGUUCAGUGGAUGGCUUGUAGGAAUCUUCCAUGAGGAUUUUAUGCAUGCAGAUCGUAGGACUUAUCCCCUUGAUGUCAGCUAUCGACUAUCCCAAAGCGGCCUUGUGCUCCCUCAACACUUUCAAUAAUCUGUCCUCUUCGUCCCUAGUGAGUGAUGAAGAAAUGAUCACUGGAAAUGCAGAAUUGUCCCCCAGAAAUGCAUAGCAGAGGUGAUUUGGUAAUUGCUUCAAUUCAAUCUUACUGUUUUCACUGCUUUCUUUGUCAUCUGAUUCCUCUGAUUAUUGAAUAUCUUCACACUGUGACAGGUUGUCUUCAACAGAUGUAGGGAUUAGUGAAAUUGCCUGGAUCUUUUCUCUUCUGAGGAAGUUUCUCUUGAAGGAUAGCACUGCAUUCUUUUGUUAAUUUUAUUGUUUUAUAUUCUUCCAAUUUUCAUUUCUUUGACAUCACCUCCUUCAUAAACUUUGCGUAGUUUGACAUUUGUUCCAAAGCAUCGGCAAAAGGAAUAUUAAUGAGAAUUUUCUUGAAAAUUUCUAAAAAUUUUGGAAAUUGAUCAUCAAUUUUUUUUCUUUUGAAAAUGCUGUGGAAAUGGAAGCGAUGGUGUGAGAAUUGGUGGGUUGUCAGGGAAGGAUAUAGAGUAAGGUCUAUGAGCCUUAGUUGUUCCUUUGGCCUGCUUUUCUUAGUCUACUACUACUUAUUCUUUCUUCUUGUCUGGUGUGGGGUUGCUAUCUUCGGUAUGUUCACUUUUUUCAACUUGCUUGCCACUUCUCAAUUCAACGGCCUUAUAGUGCUCCUUUGAGUUAACUUCUGUAUCACUUGGAAAUUUUCCUUGUUGCUGAGACUUCAUUGAGGUAGCCAAUUGACCAAUUUGCACUUCAAGAUGCUUCAUUGUGGCUCCUAUGUUGGACACGUGUUUCAAUAUUAUCCAACCGUAAUUCAUUUUUGUUGAAGCGUGAUCUUGUUUUAAAAAUGAAUGUCCCAAGAAUGUCUUUCAAGGAUGGUUUCCUUUCAGGAUUCUGAGUGUUGAAUCCAGGUGAAGGUUGAAGUGUGUUUCUAUUGUUGCCAUAUGACAAGUUCUCGUGAUUCCUUAGCCUUGGGCUAUCCCUUGAGUAGUAAGCAUGACUAUCUGAUUUGUGAGUGAUGUAACCUGAGCUGCUAGUGCUAUGACGAGAUCCACUUCAUGAAGUCCCGCUACUUUCUUUACGCUUGAUCUCUCACUUGGCCAUCGGUAACUGUUGGUGGCUAUGUCAUCCAAUAAAGCAUAGGCAGCCUUUGCUGUUUUAGCCAUUAAAAUGCCUCCCGCAGCUGCAUCUACUAUAGUCCUUGUCUGCCCAUUUAGCCCAUUGUAUAAUAUCUCAAUCUGCAUCCAUUUCUGGAAACCAUGUUGAGGACAUCUCCCAAGCAAGUCUUUAAAUCUUUCCCACGCUUCAUAAAAUGGCUCCAAGUUGAGUUGUUUGAAUUGGCUAAUCUCACUGCGAAGUUGUGCUAAUUUAGAAGGUGGAAAGUACUUGGUGAGGAAUUUUUGAGCCAAAUCAUCUCAAGUUGUAAUUGAGCCAUACGGUAGUGAUUGAAACCAAGCUUUUGCUUUAUCCCUCAAAGAGAAAGAGAACAGGCGAAGUUUAAUUGCAUCUUCAGUGACCUCAUUCAUCUUUACCUUGUCACAAAUUUCCAAAAAGGAUCCAAGAUGAGCAUUUGGGUCUUCUGUUGCAGCACCCCUAAACUGAUUCUGCUGCACCAUAUGUAUCAGCCCUGGUUUCAAUUCGAAGUUGUUUGCAGCAAUUGCUGGGUGUGCGAUGUCGGAAUAUUUGUCAUUGUCAACGAGCCUUAUGUAGUCCCGAAUAGCCCUAUGUUGGUUAUCAUCAUUAGCUGCUCUUGCUUCCUGUUCCGCCAUUGCUUCUUGUUCGUUUCUUUGUAUGUCCCUUAGAAUGCGAAAUGUGCGUUCUGGUUCAAGAUCAAUAGGUAGUAGGUUCAGAUUCCUCACCCUUCACAUAGACAGCUAAAAAUAAACACAAUGAAUCUAUUAGAGAUAGACACAAAAUGAAAAAAAAAAUAAUGAUAAUAAAAAAAUUACGAUAAAAAUAAAAAUCUAAAUUAAAAUGAACGCUAAUUGGUAAUAAUAUCAAUUGAAUUUGAAUAAAUCAAUUCCCGACAACGGUGCCAAAACGUUGCCACGCGAUUAUAUAGCGUGAUUUAAUCGCAAGUGUACGGUGUCAAGUUUUGUAAUAUAGUAAAGAAUUUAAAAGUGUCGAACCCACAAUGAUUGAUAUUCAAAUUCAACCAAGUACUAUAAUUGUUUCGGUUUUUACUUUAUUUAGACAAUUUCAAGUUUUAAAUGAUGUUUUUAUGAUAACCUAAUUUAAAUGGAAUAAAGAAUGCAAGUAAAGUGAGACAAUUUCUAAAAAUCAAAUCAAAUUAUGGAUAUCUAGGGAUUGAUUUCACGAUAUUAUCAAUAUGUUCUCAACUUCUAUAGCCAUUUCCAUCGAUUUUUUCCAAUUUAUAGGCAAGAACCCUAAUUUAAUUCUAUCAUCUCUCUCGAGCGUCAAUAGAAUCUAUCUUUAUAUUUUAACCCCAAUAUCUCUAUUUCCAAUUAAACCUAUAAAGAUGAUUAAAACUAUUGCUUCUUGUUUUACACUUCAAAGAUUUGCACUCUCUCGAAACCUAAAAAUCUAGGUUAUGUUGUUCCAGAUAAUGUCUAAAUUUUCCUCUCUCGAGCAUCAAAUUUAAAGCAUUGAUUCAUUCAAUUUUGAUCAUGCAAUCCUCUUUUCUUAUCUCUAAUUUAUGCCCCCAUUUUAUGAUCACCAUUUUAGAUUCAUCACAAGCUUCCAAUUGUGGCGUUUACUCGAAUGUUGAUUGAACUGCAAAACAACAUGAACACACACAUCAAAACGUUCAAAAGUACUCAAGAGCAAGCUAAAGCCCGUGAUUUAGAGGCGUUAGUUUAAUGAGUGAAUUACACUCAUCAGUUAGCCACUUUAAUAGUUGACAGUCGGCCAAAUAGUCGAGUUGCCCCGAUUGUGUUAACAGCCCGAUGUUAACCGUCUAGGUCGACUGUUAACAGUCAGCGGCCCAAACUGUUUAAUAAUGUGGGGGGAUUGUUUUUUCGGCCCAAUUUUAUUUAUUUUUACUUUUUACAUUUUAUUUAUAAUUUUUUUUAAAAUUAAAAGAAUUCUUUUAAAUUGAAAAUUAACAAAUUAAAUAAUAUUUUUCAACCAAAUAUUUUAGUGGGCUGACUGUCAGUUUUCUUUGUUUCUAUUUAUUUUUUUAUUCUUGUCGUUUUAGUAAAUAAUCUAUUUUUUUUUUAUUAGUUUCGGUAUAAAAUGAAUCUACGUCCUGCAUAUAUUAGUUGCAAUUCUGUUUGGUUAAUUUCCUGUUAUUAUGUUUUUGUUCAUGAUUCUUGUACAAUGUUUUAACAUUUGAAUUUUGCAGGAUAAAUUACCAUCUUGGAGUUGUUGGAUGAUCAACAUGUAGAUAUACUUCGCCAGUCCUUUCUUUGGCCCUUACACCAAUUGAGAGAUGUGCAGUACUCAGGUUAGAUUAUCGAUACAUUGCUAAGUCGAUUGUUGAGUCCAGUUGACGGCGACGCCCUCCACUUUGACCUGGGGGGUAAAGUCGCCAGAUUCUCUAUGUUCGAUUUUGUCAUAAUUACUAGAUUGAAGAUUACGGGCGAUGAACAGCUCAAAGAAGCAACAGGCUAUACGACACGUACUUCCAGGGACAAGGGACAGUGCUUCUGGUCUGGUCUACAUUAUCAGGAGGAAUUAGAGGACGGUCCACUCGAUUCAGCCCUAGAGGUCCCACCCCGCUAGUGUCUUUGACGGGAUAAAGCAAUCAAAUCCUCAUUUUAUAAAUGUAUUUUCAUCUUCAUUAUCGUUGUCAUGAACUACGGAGGGAAUUCUGUGUGCAACUAUCUCUGGAAUAACCAUAUCAUUUUCACGAGCUAUUUCCACCGUAUUCCAAAAUUCAUUGGUAUUGUGACCCCCUCUGUCUGAGUCUACGUGUUCACAUUCGACGACAUCCUUCCUCACUAAAGUCACGCAAAGAGGAGCCGUGUGCUUAUUUUUCAAUUUAAACAGAUAAUUCACUUCAACAUCAGAAGAAAUCCCUAUAAGUGGAAUCGAAAUGGAUGCAUGCUUGUUGAAUUUAAAUUUCAAUUCCCCUUCAUACUGAGACGGAU